AGGAAGAUGCCGCCGAGUGGACGGCAAUCGGUCUCGAAAACCGUGGUACAGCAGCGAUGUUGUAGGGGUUCGAUCCCUCCAUCUUCCUC
rnacentral:tRNA from 2 species